AGCAGCUAGCAGCUGCUCUUUUAAACAGCUUAGCUGAAGUUUCUGCACCUUUCUUUUCUCAGCAGAGUCAGUGGUUCCCAUGGAAACCCCAGGCAAAACAGUGUGGAGCCCCCAGGAGCACCGCUGCAGCCCCAGCACCGUGUUGGCUCUGCGGUCCUAUUGUAAAUGUGCAAGGGCUGACGCUGGGAACACCCAUGCUGGACAGUUAGAGAGUGAGCAAACAAUGGCAGGCUGGGGAUAAAGCUGCAUACGGACCUACACAUUCCUGUCCAGUUUGGUGGAACCACUUAAGGCAGGCUGCUAUAACGUGCAGGAGUCUGCCUACUCUGUGGAAAUGAGGUGACGCCUUCAUCACAGCCAGGAGCCAGGCUGAAAAUUAUUGUCUCUGAGACAGCACAAAACUCAGACUGCAGAAAGUUCUUUUUUUGGACAACUUCAAAGCUGAACUUUGUAUUUGAGAGAUGGAAGCAUGCAACUAAAUGCAUCUGCAUAUACGCUGCCUCACUUUAUCUGGGGAGUAACAAACCGGGUGACAGAAACAAUGCACUGGCUUAAAAAUGAUGAACUUCUUUUUUUCUUUUUCUUAUUAAAACAGGGAGAAAGUAACUGGUAGUAGCAUUCACAGCACAUGCUUCCCCUGCUGCUGCCUGGCUUCACCUCAGCCUUGACAGCACAGAUCUCAAAGGGACAUCGCAUGCGUUUUCAAUUAAGGAGGCCAAGGGAAAAGUGAUACUGGAGCCACAGCAGAGAUAUGAAUAACUUCCCCAUGCUUACAUCUGGCUGCAGAACACUGAGGAUGAAGACACUUUUAUGAUUCAGAUCCAAAACUACAGAAAGAUUUUUGUCUCUAUUUUUUAACUUCUCAGAUAAUAUUUUCUGUGCAGCCCUGAGCAAACCACCUGCAACAGUGUCUCUUUUUCUCUUUUUCCUAAUACAGAAAUAACUUAUUUCCUGA